CCUACGGGGGGCAGCAGUGGGGAAUAUUGGGCAAUGGGCGCAAGCCUGACCCAGCAAUGCCGCGUGAAGGAAGAAGGCUUUCGGGUUGUAAACUUCUUUGACAGGGGAAGAGCAGAAGACGGUACCCUGAAAACAAGCCACGGCUAACUACGUGCCAGCAGCCGCGGUAAUACGUAGGUGGCAAGCGUUGUCCGGAUUUACUGGGUGUAAAGGGCGUGUAGCCGGGAAGGGAAGUCAGAUGUGAAAUCUGGAGGCUCAACCUCCAAAUUGCAUUUGAAACUGUUUUUCUUGAGUACUGGAGAGGCAGACGGAAUUCCUUGUGUAGCGGUGAAAUGCGUAGAUAUUAGGAGGAACACCGGUGGCGAAGGCGGCUUACUGGACUGUAACUGACGUUGAGGCUCGAAGGCGUGGGGAGCAAACAGGAUUAGAUACCCUUGUAGUC
rnacentral:rRNA from 1 species